rnacentral:rRNA from 1 species
GAUGAACGCUGGCGGCGUGCCUAAUACAUGCAAGUCGAGCGAACAGAUAAGGAGCUUGCUCCUUUGACGUUAGCGGCGGACGGGUGAGUUACACGUGGAUAACCUACCUAUAAGACUGGGAUAACUUCGGGAAACCGGAUCUAAUACCGGAUAACAUGUUGUACCGCAUGAUUCAAUAGUGAAAGGCGGCUUUGCUGUUACUUAUAGAUGGUUCCGCGCCGUAUUAGCUAGUUGGUAAGGUAACGGCUUACCAAGGCAACGAUACGUAGCCGACCUGAGAGGGUGAUCGGCCACACUGGAACUGAGACACGGUCCAGACUCCUACGGGAGGCAGCAGUAGGGAAUCUUGCGCAAUGGGCGAAAGCCUGACGGAGCAACGCCGCGUGAGUGAUGAAGGUCUUCGGAUCGUAAAACUCUGUUAUCGGGGAAGAACAAAUGUGGAAGUAAAUGUGCACAUCUUGACGGUACCUGAUCAGAAAGCCACGGCUAACUACGUG